CACUUCAGCUCUGGUUGUGUGAGCCGUCUAAUCGAUUUAUCUUCUCAGUUACAUAUGCCAUUGGUCAUGUUUCUCGACUUCUCCUUUUUGGAUUUCUUGAUAGUUUGUUGUGUGACAUUUGCCGUGUUCUUGCUGCAGGUGUUCCUCUGUCCAUUGGAUGUCCACUGGUUGCAUAUAUACAACACGCAGAUGGCUACAUGUGUUGCUAUGUUCAUUAUGUUAGUUCCAUUUCUUUGGUCGUGUUGCAGGAUUGCAACUCAUCCCUUUUUACAGUUUGUCUCCUGCAUGGUCAGGUUUCUUACAAGCUAUAUGCAUCACCUGCUGUUAACUUUAUCAUUAUUCGUCAACCGUUCGCAUGGAGGUUGUUGAGAUUCUAACCACAGCCCUGCUUGAGGAGAUGCUGAAGAAGCUGUGCUUGCCAAGCCCAAAGCACAAGAAAUACUUAUCUCUGGAAGCAUAGCUGAUUGCUUCGAUCACGUUCUACCCGAAAACUUUGUCUUAGUUUUACUUACGGCAACAUCUCACUGUCCAGCUGUCCUAUGGACGGUUUGGGGGCUGCAAAUAUAAUAUCUAAGCAUAUAAUGCUCCUUUAAAAUCCAAGCAGAUUGACAUGGGAGUAUUAAUCUCUGUAAUUGUCGUAUUUUUUUAUUGGAAAUUUAUUCAGUAAAUGCUAGCAAGGUGUUCAAUUAAUAUUUUAGCUAGCUAUUUCUGAUGAUCUGUACAACUAAUUUCUUUAGCUUCCUAAAUUUAAUCCUAUUUUUGCAGGUGCCAGCCCCCGCACCCAGGUGCAACGGCUCCAACUCCUGGUGGCGAGCAUGGGUAUUCAUGGGUAAACUCCUGACCCUCAUAGGGCAAGACCCUGUGAUCUCACGGGAAGCUGGAAGAUACAUCGUCUGGUUGAUUCCAGGGCUCUUUGCCUAUGCAGUCAGCCAUCCCCUAACAAAGUUUUUGCAGUCUCAGAGCCUAAUAAUUCCUAUGCUUUGGUCCUCCAUUGGAACAUUGCUCUUGCACAUUCCUCUCUGUUGGUUAUUGGUUUUGGAGACCAGUAUGGGGUAUUUUGGAGUCGGUGUGUUCAUGCGCCUAGCUCUGCCAUCUGCACUAAUGUUAUGUUUUGAAUGGUGGUCAUUUGAGGCCAUUAUUCUUCUGUCGGGACUUCUACCCAAUCCAGAGCUGCAAACUUCUGUUCUUUCGACCUGUUAAGAAUUUCCCAUGUAAGGUAAUAAGCUCUUAUGGUAAUAUCUGCAUUAUACUUACACUCAUCUUCUUGUGCAGCAUGACAACAAUCACAGAUCUUAUGCUCUAGGACAAACAGGUAUUGGAAUACAUCUAUGACGCAUGAACUUGAAUAGAAAAUAUGAUGUUUCACAUUCUCUGAUCGCUCGCAUGUUACGUUUCUUUCUGAUACACCUAUGAUUGUUAGGCAGCAUUCCCUUUUUAUUGUCUAAACCUUCGUUGAUUCAGUUAUCUCCUGAAUUUUCUCGGUCAGUACUUGUAGAAUCAAAAGGGAGUAACCUGCAUAGUUAUAUGAUACUUGGUUUGCUCGAAAGAAUAAAUGCUAAUAAAAUCCUAGACUGCCACGACUAGAGGGCAUGUAUCUAAUGGUUUGGCUGGUCUCAUCUGCAAGUAUUUUUCUUUCAUCUCAUCUGUCUUGACACGGUUCAUAUCACACCUAUGCAGAAAACUAAGUUAUUAUGUACUAUUAUCAUCACAAGGCUUAGCCCUGAACAAGGCUCUUGAUUCUCUUCCUGUGCAACUUGCCAUAAAUCGGUGGUUCCAUACGACACAGAGUAAAGGUGCUCUGAUUUAGGCCGUUGAUUAAUUAGUAUUUAGUUGUUUGUGUAUGGAUUUGCCUAGAGGUAUUCAGGUUACUUCCGUCCCAGCGUGCUAAAGCAAUCCUGCAUUUUUAAUGUUUUAUAGGAGUAUGUUUCCUAAUAAUUGAGCAGUGAGGCAGAGUAAGCACAGAUACAGACCAACAGACUUUUAUUAUUUUUCCUAAAUAAAAAGGAAAAUCCAGGAUGCAUGUAUGUGCGUAUGUCAUAAUACGUUCCAAGGUUUUCAUUUACGUUCAGGUGCAUCUGAAUGAAGUAUGGUAUUCUUUAAUAUCUAUCAUUUACAUUCCAAGGUUUUCACGUGUGUCCCAUAAAAAUCCUGAAGAGAAAGGUGAGUUCUUGAUGGAAGUGCAUUUAGCAUUUCUUUCAAGGCAGAAACGAGCAGAUGCUUGAAAAUUUUCAUUCUUGCGUUAGUUUACAAAUAGUUACAUUACAUGGCCGUCAAUUACAACGACGGAUUCUCAGGGCGGAGCACUUGGCAGUAGCUGACCAUUUAGCAGGGAAGGUAAAAUUGGACAGUGUAUAUUUGCAUAUGUUCAGAGCGCAACUUCAGAGCGCCAUUUUUUCGUUUCACCGUAUAAUUGAUUAUUUUUAGCUAACUGCCGUUGAAGGUCAGUGUUCAUGUGCCCAAUGCCCACAACUGCAGUUGAAGGUAAAACCGUGGUUUUAGCAAGUGGAGUUAAUUUCCAUUAAUAUGUCACAGCAAUAUACUUGCUAGAAUAGAUGUAGGUCUCAUAUACUCCAAGAAGUUGAUUGGAUAAUUGCAAUGGUUGUAGUGGCUCAAAUUAUUUGGAUUGAAAAUCUUUCUGCUACAGAAAGUAAGUAUUGACUGAACAAUGAAAAUCUUCCAGCUAAUAUUUAUUCCAUGAUUUAAAGGGCACAACUAAUUUAUGGCUGGGUUUUACCUUGCUGCAUCGAUUCUAUCCUGUUUUGCUGCCUCGCUGAUAAGGACCAUGGCAUCAUUGGAUGGACUUGCAGAUAUUUGACCCAUUGAAAGUGGUGGUGAACAAGAGAAGCAUACUCGUGUAAGUUUGAGGUAUAGGUUGUAUCCUCUUGAGAUUGAAGAACACAUCUAUUCCAAUUUACAAUAUUACAGUUUGAUCAGAAAUAAAUAUUCAGGUUUUUCAAUAUUAAAUCUAUCUCUAAGUGUAGAUGUUAUCAUAUUAAAACUAUCUCUAGGUUACUCUUUGCCUCUGUGUUGUGUUACUCUAGAUCUCAGUUUUCACAUGCAUGAGUGGUAGUGAAUCUUAAAAUAAAACAUAAGUUCACAACUUUAGUAAACAUGUACAAAAAUCCUAUCUUUUAUGGAUGUUGCCCUUGCGGGGAAGAGUGAAAUAGGGUCAAUGUUCAUAAGUGUUGGGUAUAUACUAACAUCAUAUACACAUUUGAACUGUGAAAAUACCAUUGCAUCAGUUGCAGGCUAUCUUUUAUAGAGGUUGCCCUUGUGGGGAAGAGUGAAUAUUCAUUGGCGCCUUUAUCCUAGAUGAAUUCAAUAUGCCAUUCAUAGUCAAUUGCUUGAAACGCAAAUAUAGUAGGGCUACCUCUGUAGAAGAUAGCCUGCAACUCAUGCAGUUACUACUUGAUUAUUUUAUGCAUGAUGCCGAUCGAAUCUAAAUUUUUUUUUCUUACUGUGCCAGGAUAAAUCCAUUAGAAUGUUCCCUUAUAUUUGUUUUCAGGUGCUUGUUUUUUCUUAAUCUAUCAGUCUGGACACCUGAGUGUAGCAGAGUGUCAACAUGUUAGCUAGGUUUGUAGCUCCGACGUUGUGGCAUAAAGUGAUAAACCGUAUGCAAAAACAAUUGAAUUAUAAAUUUUGAACUACAAGUGUUGAACUGCUUUCUUUUAUGCUCCAAAGGACCAAGAAAUACAUCGAGAACUUAACCGUACUAUAUGUAUGUAGGGUUAAAUACUUUGUCGUAUAUACUACCAACGUACCAGAAUAUAAGAUGUUUUAGUACCCUAUUUUAGCCUACUAAAACGUCUUAUAUUUUGAAACAGAAUAGAGGAAACAUAUUUUUAUUAAACUCAAUCACACGUGGAUGGUAGUAGUUGCUUACACUUAGCAUGCCUAUGCUAUGUCCUUUCUAGCUGAAUGACUAGAUCAGACAUGCGGAGAAGCAAGGUUUUUUUUUCUUUCAGUUCUUGUGUCACAAUUGCAACUAGAAUGUGUGUCCCUGAUAAAUAUCUUCUACAAGUAGUAGUUAUUUUGUCUCUUUGAAUUAUAUUGUCUAUCUUUCACUGCCGCAGAUUGAUGUUAGGAUGUUCAGUGUGGCAUGUCCUGCAAAAUUUUAAUCAAACUAUAACCUGACAUGAAAAAGACCGCAAAUCGAUGCUAUGAUGUGCAAUAUGAGGUUUGCUUCCAUCUCUCGCCUAGGUUCUCAGGUGAUAUUUUAGGCUAUUUAACGAACAUAUUACUUUUUCAAUACUGAAUGCAUUUCGCUUAGAAAAAUGGAUCAUUACAUAAUCAUUAAGAUUGAUGCCAUGCUUACAUAAUGAUGUUUGAACUGAUAAUAUUGAAGUACAGCUUGUUGCUGAGGCACACAUUGGUAUGAUUUGGAUCUUCAUUAACAUCCUCAUCACAAGCAGUCACAAAAUAUUAGUUGAAACAUGAGAAUCUCCGUCGAGCAGCCUGGGAAUGGCUCUCCAGGAACCACAUCCAGAACCUGGUUUGCCCCUAGCCUUUUCCCAUGCUUCUUUGGUGUUUUUGACAUAUUGUUGUGCUAGAAUCUUCUCGAUUGUCAUUAGUCAAAUGUUAUUAGGAACAUAUACCUACAUGGUUGCCUUUGUUGGUACCUUAGUACAUAUUACUAAAUCGUCAUCAGAUUCUUCUCCGUAGAUAAUGGACACUAAUGUGCUAUGCUUUUGCUUCUGAGCGGCGUAGAUUAUAUUAGGCCGGCCUCACCGCUAUUAGCGCUGGACAAAAGCUGAUGCUGGCCGAGAAAAUGGUUCUUUACUGUUAAGAUUGGUCGGUUGAUUUGGCCAUAGUCUGUAACACUAAUAGUUACUAAUUAACCUAAGCAAAAGGGGACAUCUAGGGAUGCGACUGACUAUACUAGGAUCCCACGUGGUUUAUUUUUUAUCUAUAGAUUUCACAAUAUUAUUCCAUGUUGUUCUUCAACUUUAACAAUAUUUUCUAUUUUGAGUUAGUACCUUGGUAAUAUUCAGCUCUGUAGACUCCAUAUGUAGGCUGUAUUUUUCUGUAGGUAAAGAAAAUAUACUGUGUAUAUCUCAGGCUUGCAUUUCAGAUAUGUAUACGUUCCUGCUUAAUGGUAAUUUUCAUUUUCCGUUUGUGAACUAGAUUAAUCUCACAGUUCUUUGGUUCAUGUAAUUGAGAGUCUGCUUCAAAGGGUUAUGUCUUUGUACUGUGAUUCUACAUCGAAUUCACAGCAAAUCUUUAAAGGAUAAUAUGGCAUCUUUUAGUUUAAUCAUAUGUAUGCUGCUUGCUUUCGAUUUGAAAAAAUGUUUAAUAUAGUGUUUUACAAACCCGUUUACCAAUGCAGAAGACAGGGGACACGUGCCAAGAUGCGCCCCUAAAUUUGUUGGUCAUUAUCUUUGUCCUAAGACAAAUAACUCUCUUCCUCGGAUGUCCAGAUGUGGUUGGCAAGAUUUCAGCAACCUAAUGUGCUUCCUUUCUAUGUCUAUAUGUUCAUUCUAUUUAUGGUCUGGCUAUUGCAUUCCCCGUAGCGGCCAGGUGCUAAAAUUUGAUCUUUGGGCUGAUAGUGCUUUAAUGGAAACACGUUGAUUUUCCUUCGGAAAAUUGAGUCAGUUGUUAUUUUUCUUGGCACCACUGUUCGAGGUUAUUUCGGUAGCCCCUCUUUAUUUCGUUAGACAUGCUAGCGUGAUAUCAUUUCUUCAUUUCCUGUUAACAUAUAUUUGCAGGGCAAAGGAGUCUAGCCGUUGGGAAAGCAUGUAGACGGUACAUCAAUGUAGACAUCCUUGAAAUAAUUGUCCUCCCUUGGAUGAUACUGACUGAUCUUUUUUUUUAUUUCAUUGCGGUCGACCAAUUUGAACCCAAUGCAAAUUCUUCGUUGGAUAUCAAUAUUGCGCUG